rnacentral:rRNA from 1 species
UGGCUCAGAUUGAACGCUGGCGGCAGGCCUAACACAUGCAAGUCGAGCGGUAGCACAGAGAGCUUGCUCUCGGGUGACGAGCGGCGGACGGGUGAGUAAUGUCUGGGAAACUGCCUGAUGGAGGGGGAUAACUACUGGAAACGGUAGCUAAUACCGCAUAACGUCGCAAGACCAAAGUGGGGGACCUUCGGGCCUCAUGCCAUCAGAUGUGCCCAGAUGGGAUUAGCUAGUAGGUGGGGUAACGGCUCACCUAGGCGACGAUCCCUAGCUGGUCUGAGAGGAUGACCAGCCACACUGGAACUGAGACACGGUCCAGACUCCUACGGGAGGCAGCAGUGGGGAAUAUUGCACAAUGGGCGCAAGCCUGAUGCAGCCAUGCCGCGUGUGUGAAGAAGGCCUUCGGGUUGUAAAGCACUUUCAGCGGGGAGGAAGGCGAUAAGGUUAAUAACCUUGUCGAUUGACGUUACCCGCAGAAGAAGCACCGGCUAACUCCGUGCCAGCAGCCGCGGUAAUACGGAGGGUGCAAGCGUUAAUCGGAAUUACUGGGCGUAAAGCGCACGCAGGCGGUCUGUCAAGUCGGAUGUGAAAUCCCCGGGCUCAACCUGGGAACUGCAUUCGAAACUGGCAGGCUAGAGUCUUGUAGAGGGGGGUAGAAUUCCAGGUGUAGCGGUGAAAUGCGUAGAGAUCUGGAGGAAUACCGGUGGCGAAGGCGGCCCCCUGGACAAAGACUGACGCUCAGGUGCGAAAGCGUGGGGAGCAAACAGGAUUAGAUACCCUGGUAGUCCACGCUGUAAACGAUGUCGAUUUGGAGGUUGUGCCCUUGAGGCGUGGCUUCCGGAGCUAACGCGUUAAAUCGACCGCCUGGGGAGUACGGCCGCAAGGUUAAAACUCAAAUGAAUUGACGGGGGCCCGCACAAGCGGUGGAGCAUGUGGUUUAAUUCGAUGCAACGCGAAGAACCUUACCUGGUCUUGACAUCCACAGAACUUUCCAGAGAUGGAUUGGUGCCUUCGGGAACUGUGAGACAGGUGCUGCAUGGCUGUCGUCAGCUCGUGUUGUGAAAUGUUGGGUUAAGUCCCGCAACGAGCGCAACCCUUAUCCUUUGUUGCCAGCGGUUAGGCCGGGAACUCAAAGGAGACUGCCAGUGAUAAACUGGAGGAAGGUGGGGAUGACGUCAAGUCAUCAUGGCCCUUACGACCAGGGCUACACACGUGCUACAAUGGCAUAUACAAAGAGAAGCGACCUCGCGAGAGCAAGCGGACCUCAUAAAGUAUGUCGUAGUCCGGAUUGGAGUCUGCAACUCGACUCCAUGAAGUCGGAAUCGCUAGUAAUCGUAGAUCAGAAUGCUACGGUGAAUACGUUCCCGGGCCUUGUACACACCGCCCGUCACACCAUGGGAGUGGGUUGCAAAAGAAGUAGGUAGCUUAACCUUCGGGAGGGCGCUUACCACUUUGUGAUUCAUGACUGGGGUGAA